rnacentral:rRNA from 1 species
GUGGGGAAUAUUGGACAAUGGGGGGAACCCUGAUCCAGCCAUGCCGCGUGUGUGAAGAAGGCCUUUUGGUUGUAAAGCACUUUAAGCGAGGAGGAGGCUACCGAGAUUAAUACUCUUGGAUAGUGGACGUUACUCGCAGAAUAAGCACCGGCUAACUCUGUGCCAGCAGCCGCGGUAAUACAGAGGGUGCAAGCGUUAAUCGGAUUUACUGGGCGUAAAGCGCGCGUAGGUGGCCAAUUAAGUCAAAGGUGAAAUCCCCGAGCUUAACUUGGGAAUUGCAUUCGAUACUGGUUGGCUAGAGUAUGGGAGAGGAUGGUAGAAUUCCAGGUGUAGCGGUGAAAUGCGUAGAGAUCUGGAGGAAUACCGAUGGCGAAGGCAGCCAUCUGGCCUAAUACUGACACUGAGGUGCGAAAGCAUGGGGAGCAAACAGGAUUAGAUACCCGGGUAGUC